AGAGCUUUGAGUUCAUGUUUAUUUUUCAUUUUACACCUUAAAAGGAAGGCAUUUUUAUCUCACCCAUAUAGAAUGUAAUCCACUCACAAUUAACAUUGAUGAAACUGGCAAGUGAUAAAAAUAUCUACAACUUGUUUUUAAUCGUGUUGAUAGGAACUCAAUCGCCGGGAGAAAAUGCAGCUCAGUUGUGUGAUCCUAAGCUUGAUUUUAAUUCUCACAGAAUACACUCAUCACGUGUUCUCACAGUGGGCCUCGGAUGAGUAUCUGGAAGAAAAUGGAAUAAUUGCAACUAUAGACGGCUAUUACCCUAAAUGUCUGGGGUGUGUCCUAUUUCAAAAGGAAAAUCUUCUUGUCUACGGUACGGUGCAUGUCCCAAACGAAAGGUUACAUUUGUUGAACGAAGAAAGUAGUUUCUCCGUGGAAAUCUGUGGCGGUGUUUUUAAUAAACUGCCUUGCUCGCACCCUCAUGCAUUUUGGUAUCCGUAUUGCCAGUUCAGAAACGUAGGAGUUAAAGGAUGCGACAGAAGAACAGGAUCGGAUUUUCCGGGUUGCUACUGUGAUGACAGCCUACCAAAGCGUUGGUACGCUUUGCUUUACUCCUGGGCAUUUGAUAGGGAAGAUAUGGCCGUGCGUUUCAAGUUUUUUCAAGAUGGGCGUAUUGGCCCGUCGCUGACAAAUAUA